rnacentral:misc_RNA from 1 species
CAACACGCUUGUGCUUGGUCUCGCUCUCUCCUCCGUUUGCCUCCCCACAGCGCGCACCUCCCUCUCCUCUGCCUUCCGCGAUUCACCAGAUCGCACGAGCAUGUCCGCCGAGGCCGAGUCGAUGCCUGCGCCGCAGGAGAUCGCUCCUGCCACCCACACCACGCCGACGGUGGUAGAGCUGAAGCCGAAGAACACGCACCGCCUCAACCGCAUCCUGCGCAAGCCCAAGGCCUCACUGCCGCCGCGCAAGUGGCACCCCGACGAGGAGGGCGAGCUCCGUGCUGUCGGCGUGCCACCGAGCGUGGUGAACACGCUCCUCGCAAGCCUGUCGGAGGAGGAGAAGAAGCGUGCCGCCGCUGGUCUGGAUCCGCUAAGCGCGACGCAGGAGGCACUGAUCCGACGCGCCGCACGCUUCGGUCUUAACAUUAACAGCAGCGACCCCGCGGCGCCUGUGGCUCCGGUGCCAACCUUCAUGGUGGACGAGGAGACGCUGCGCCGCCGCGAGGAGCGCUUUAAACAGGCCGCGCCGUCGCAGUAGGGUAUCGGAAAAGCGCAAGCGAUCGUUGCGAAGGUGACGUUGGAAGCACAGGUGGUGUGUGGGUUGCCGGCGCGAUAGAAAGACUUGGUCGGCUGGGGAAGAGAGGACGGACGCCGAGUGCAAGUAGGUGCCUCUGCAGUGCCGGCGCGUACACCCACCCCAGGCAGCCAUACUCGCCCCUUCCUUUCCGCGUUCUCCAGUCGCUACCCCAACCGCCCACGCUGAUGUGCGCAUGCAUGCAUGUACGUGCACGCGCAGGCGUAUUUCUGUAGGACGUGUUUGAAAACAGCGGAAAGCGAAACAAGAGAAGCAUGCAGUUGCCAGCACAGCCUAUCUCAGUCACAAGUGGCUCCGUGCAUGCGGCACCAACAGAAACGAUGGCAGACGAAGCGCUGCAUCUCGCGAGAGAAAUAUUUUUGUGCUCUCACGCCCUAGAGAGCAGGGGCCUACAGUGUAUUCACAGACGUGUGAAUGUGUGCACGUGGAGCUGCGUGCCGUCGGCGCAUCUCCGAAGCGAGUAGACGCACACCGAACUUACACCCCCUACACACCGCCAUGACGCGCGCAGCAGCAUCCGUGCGUGUAGCCCCUCUAUGCUGCGCGACUUCCUCAACAUUCACGUGCUCGCUGUGUGUCGCUCGCUCGUGCUUUGCGUCUUCUUCCCGAUUUAUGCACGUGUGUCGGUGCCUGAG